rnacentral:rRNA from 1 species
UGGAGCAUGUGGUUUAAUUCGAUGAUACGCGAGGAACCUUACCUGGGCUCAAAUGUAUGUUGACGUAUUCUGAAAGGGAUACUUCUUCGGACAAUAUACAAGGUGCUGCAUGGUUGUCGUCAGCUCGUGCCGUGAGGUGUCGGGUUAAGUCCCAUAACGAGCGCAACCCCUAUCAUUAGUUGCCAUCAGGUCAAGCUGGGGACUCUAAUGAAACUGCCUACGCAAGUAGUGAGGAAGGUGGGGAUGACGUCAAAUCAGCACGGCCCUUACGUCCAGGGCUACACACGUGCUACAAUGGUCGGUACAAAGGGUUGCCAAGCCGCGAGGUGGAGCUAAUCCCAUAAAACCGAUCGUAGUCCGGAUCGCAGUCUGCAACUCGACUGCGUGAAGUCGGAAUCGCUAGUAAUCGUGAAUCAGAAUGUCACGGUGAAUACGUUCCCGGGCCUU